CUACUGGGGUAUCUAAUCCUGUUUGCUCCCCACGCUUUCGCACCUCAGCGUCAGUAUCGGACCAGUUGGCCGCCUUCGCCACUGGUGUUCUUGCGAAUAUCUACGAAUUUCACCUCUACACUCGCAGUUCCACCAACCUCUUCCGAACUCGAGACUAUCAGUAUCAAAGGCAGUUCUGGAGUUGAGCUCCAGGCUUUCACCCCUGACUUAAUAAUCCGCCUACGUGCGCUUUACGCCCAGUGAUUCCGAACAACGCUAGCCCCCUUCGUAUUACCGCGGCUGCUGGCAC
rnacentral:rRNA from 1 species